rnacentral:tRNA from 2 species
GGUCCCGUAGCUCAGUAGGAUAGAGCACAAGUUUCCUAAACUUGGGGUCGCAGGUUCGAUUCCUGCCGGGAUCA